ACUACUUAAAAAGGAGGAACAUGUUCCUUAUUCUGCCAAUACGUCAACGAUUUCGUCGUCCGGCUUCGUUCGACGCGCGAGCACGCACGUGGGCCAAAGCCCAACAAAAUCCACAUACUCUUUCGUCUGUUCAGCCGUCUCUCGGUUGGUCCCGAGGGAACCCAAACCCUAUCUCCCCCUCGAUCCCUAUCUCCACCGCGCCCUGGAUCCCCAAGUCCGCCGCCGCCCCUGCCAGGGAUGGAGCCGGACGAGGACGGCGGAGAUGGCAGGCCACUGUUCCUCUAACAUUCCUUCCUCCUCCAUUCUCCUCUCGCGAUCCCGGCCGUGCCCAUCUCUCUUCGCGAUCUAUUCUUCUGCUAAACACCAUCAUCCAAUUCGCAAGGCCACGGGUUGUUCCCCACUCUGCAGCUCCUCCUCUUCGCUAACUCUGCCCGCGACGGACGGCUCCAGAGAAAAAGAGGAUGAGGAGUAGUGCCCCACUGCCCCAUGCGUAGGUUGCACAGAUACGACUCAAAGUUUAUGCAUCGGUGGUCGGAUACCUCCACCGUCCGCCACUGCCUCGCACAGGACUCCAGGUCAGUUUCCCCUCUUCCCAUCUCAAUCGCUCGCUUCUUCUUGUCCUCUCGUAGAUUGGUUUUGCUGGCCUGGGGCGGCGGGUGUGGCUGGGCCGCCGGGAACCAGUGCCGGUCAUCGGAAUCCAGGUCUCAAGGAAGCUCCUGCACUCUGCAAUCCUUGAUUGAUUUGGAUUAAUUAUUUGUAAUGACUAUCCAGUACAUACAUGCCUGCUGUUUCUUUUUUGGAGAUAGCAAAGUUUCAUGUUCUUCUUUAGUACGUACAUGAAUUUGUCUUGCUACGGUGCUACCUAGGCCAUCCUGCCAAAUCUUUCUUCAAUACACUCAUGUGCAAGGCCACAUGCAUGAUUCGAUCUCGGUAAUUUGGCACGAAAUAUUGAUUGUAGAUUCUAAAACACCUUAAUUGAAUUGGAUGAAUCACUGUUUAGUUGUACUGGACUGGCUAUCGUAGUUCCGCUCUAUCACUUUCUCUUCUUGCAGGUAAUUGAAUUGUAUAUUUCCCAUCUCGAGGACGCGAGGCGAGAUGCAGUCCGUCGCCCUCGAAAACCAGCUGCCACAAGGCGGAGCAGAGGCCACAGAGAGCUCGGUAAUGGGGCGUUCAGCAUCCAGGGAGCCAGGCCGGAGGAGACGCCACUGAGGGAGUGGUCUUCGACCUCCAGCAUCCAGGGAGCCUGGCUGGAGCCAAGUCCGUCGGCGGCUCAGUCGCCCUCCCAAAUCUAAGUGAGCGGCCUAAUCCGUAGGCGCGUUCUGGAUGGACGCCCACCACUCCGUGCCGCCACUACCCCUGCCAUCCGUGCUAUGAAGAAGACCAACAUCACAAUUUUUCUUGAGCAUUGGAACAAUCUGCAUCUUGAAAAGAUAAAAGCACAGAAGGUACUAAAGGGGGUGUCCUGCACAACCAGUACGCGGCUGUUGUUACGUAUAUAACAGAGUUUCUAGAAGAUGUCUGGGCACGGCGCCUUAUAUGAACUUCUCUUCAAAAUUUCUUUGAGAGGCUUCUUAACGAGUGGAUGAGCUGGAUGAUAUGGAGAAGCGGAAGGCAAACGGGGAGUCAAUGUUUGCAAUGCUCAAGUAGUGUCACGGUAUUUCAGUCCCAUGUUCCAGUUUUGUAGGAAAAAGGCGAGAAUCUUCCAGUCUCUGUGUGAUACUUUUUUCUUAUAAUUUCAAAUUAAAGUACUUGUGCAAAAAUGGACAAAUAACCGAAAGAAUGGGGUAAAUUAGGAUUUGAAAUUA